CCUACGGGGGGCAGCAGUGAGGAAUAUUGGUCAAUGGGCGCGAGCCUGAACCAGCCAAGUCGUGUGAAGGAUGACUGCCCUCCGGGUUGUAACCUUCUUUUAUAAAGAAAUAAAGUGAGGCACGUGUGCCUUUUUGUCUGUACUUUAUGAUUAAGGAUCGGCUAACUCCGUGCCAGCAGCCGCGGUAAUACGGAGGGUCCGAGCGUUAUCCGGAUUUAGUGGGUUUAAAGGGAGCGUAGAUGGGUUGUUAAGUCAGUUGUGAAAGUUUGCGGCUCAACCGUAAAAUUGCAAUUGAUACUGGCAGCCUUGAGUACAGUUGAGGUAGGCGGAAUUCGUGGUGUAGCGGUGAAAUGCGUAGAUAUCACGAAGAACUCCGAUUGCGAAGGCAGCCUACUAAACUGCCACUGACAUUGAUGCUCGAAAGUGUGGGGAUCAAACAGGAUUAGAUACCCGAGUAGUC
rnacentral:rRNA from 1 species